rnacentral:rRNA from 1 species
UACGUAGGGUGCAAGCGUUAAUCGGAAUUACUGGGCGUAAAGCGUGCGCAGGCGGUUGUGCAAGACCGAUGUGAAAUCCCCGGGCUUAACCUGGGAAUGGCAUUGGUGACUGCACGGCUAGAGUGUGUCAGAGGGGGGUAGAAUUCCACGUGUAGCAGUGAAAUGCGUAGAGAUGUGGAGGAAUACCGAGUGGCGAAGGCAGCCCCCUGGGAUAACACUGACGCUCA